UACAGAGGGUGCAAGCGUUGUUCGGAAUUAUUGGGCGUAAAGCGCGUGUAGGCGGCUUUGCAAGUCGGGUGUGAAAGCCCUCAGCUCAACUGAGGAAGUGCGCCCCGAAACUGCAGAGCUUGAGUGCCGGAGAGGGUGGCGGAAUUCCCCCAAGUAGAGGUGAAAUUCGUAGAUAUGGGGGAGGAACACCGGUGCGAAGGCGGCCACCUGGACGGUAACUGACGCUGAGACGCGAAAGCGUGGGGAGCAAACAGG
rnacentral:rRNA from 1 species